rnacentral:rRNA from 1 species
UACGUAGGGGGCAAGCGUUGUCCGGAUUUAUUGGGCGUAAAGAGCGUGUAGGCGGCCAUACAGGUCCGUUGUGAAAACUGGAGGCUUAACCUCCAGACGUCGAUGGAAACCGUAUGGCUAGAGUCCGGAAGAGGAGAGUGGAAUUCCUGGUGUAGCGGUGAAAUGCGCAGAUAUCAGGAAGAACACCCGUGGCGAAGUCGGCUCUCUGGGACGGUACUGACGCUGAGACGCGAAAUCGUGGGGAGCGAACAGG